GACGAACGCUGGCGGCGUGCUUAACACAUGCAAGUCGAACGGAAAGGCCCUGCUUUUGCGGGGUGCUCGAGUGGCGAACGGGUGAGUAACACGUGAGUAACCUGCCCUUGACUUUGGGAUAACUUCAGGAAACUGGGGCUAAUACCGGAUAGGAGCUCCUGCUGCAUGGUGGGGGUUGGAAAGUUUCGGCGGUUGGGGAUGGACUCGCGGCUUAUCAGCUUGUUGGUGGGGUAGUGGCUUACCAAGGCUUUGACGGGUAGCCGGCCUGAGAGGGUGACCGGUCACAUUGGGACUGAGAUACGGCCCAGACUCCUACGGGAGGCAGCAGUGGGGAAUAUUGCACAAUGGGCGGAAGCCUGAUGCAGCAACGCCGCGUGCGGGAUGACGGCCUUCGGGUUGUAAACCGCUUUCGCCUGUGACGAAGCGUGAGUGACGGUAAUGGGUAAAGAAGCACCGGCUAACUACGUG
rnacentral:rRNA from 1 species